GAUGAACGCUGGCGGCGUGCCUAAUACAUGCAAGUCGAGCGUACGGACGAGAAGCUUGCUUCUCUGAUGUUAGCGGCGGACGGGUGAGUAACACGUGGAUAACCUACCUAUAAGACUGGGAUAACUUCGGGAAACCGGAGCUAAUACCGGAUAAUAUUUUGAACCGCAUGGUUCAAAAGUGAAAGACGGUCUUGCUGUCACUUAUAGAUGGAUCCGCGCUGCAUUAGCUAGUUGGUAAGGUAACGGCUUACCAAGGCAACGAUGCAUAGCCGACCUGAGAGGGUGAUCGGCCACACUGGAACUGAGACACGGUCCAGACUCCUACGGGAGGCAGCAGUAGGGAAUCUUCCGCAAUGGGCGAAAGCCUGACGGAGCAACGCCGCGUGAGUGAUGAAGGUCUUCGGAUCGUAAAACUCUGUUAUUAGGGAAGAACAUAUGUGUAAGUAACUGUGCACAUCUUGACGGUACCUAAUCAGAAAGCCACGGCUAACUACGUGCCAGCAGCCGCGGUAAUACGUAGGUGGCAAGCGUUAUCCGGAAUUAUUGGGCGUAAAGCGCGCGUAGGCGGUUUUUUAAGUCUGAUGUGAAAGCCCACGGCUCAACCGUGGAGGGUCAUUGGAAACUGGAAAACUUGAGUGCAGAAGAGGAAAGUGGAAUUCCAUGUGUAGCGGUGAAAUGCGCAGAGAUAUGGAGGAACACCAGUGGCGAAGGCGACUUUCUGGUCUGUAACUGACGCUGAUGUGCGAAAGCGUGGGGAUCAAACAGGAUUAGAUACCCUGGUAGUCCACGCCGUAAACGAUGAGUGCUAAGUGUUAGGGGGUUUCCGCCCCUUAGUGCUGCAGCUAACGCAUUAAGCACUCCGCCUGGGGAGUACGACCGCAAGGUUGAAACUCAAAGGAAUUGACGGGGACCCGCACAAGCGGUGGAGCAUGUGGUUUAAUUCGAAGCAACGCGAAGAACCUUACCAAAUCUUGACAUCCUUUGACAACUCUAGAGAUAGAGCCUUCCCCUUCGGGGGACAAAGUGACAGGUGGUGCAUGGUUGUCGUCAGCUCGUGUCGUGAGAUGUUGGGUUAAGUCCCGCAACGAGCGCAACCCUUAAGCUUAGUUGCCAUCAUUAAGUUGGGCACUCUAAGUUGACUGCCGGUGACAAACCGGAGGAAGGUGGGGAUGACGUCAAAUCAUCAUGCCCCUUAUGAUUUGGGCUACACACGUGCUACAAUGGACAAUACAAAGGGCAGCGAAACCGCGAGGUCAAGCAAAUCCCAUAAAGUUGUUCUCAGUUCGGAUUGUAGUCUGCAACUCGACUACAUGAAGCUGGAAUCGCUAGUAAUCGUAGAUCAGCAUGCUACGGUGAAUACGUUCCCGGGUCU
rnacentral:rRNA from 1 species